rnacentral:lncRNA from 1 species
GUCAGGGCAGCAGUCUGAUUCAAGCGUCAAGGCUUCCUUCGAGUGCAGAACAGUGAUACCAUUCUUAAUCAUGGCUUUAACAGUACCCAAUGCCAUGGAUACAAUUGAUUCAGCCCAGAAGAAUGCAAUUGUACAUGAUCAAGAGUAUUUACUGCAGGGAUCAGUGUUGGAUGCAUCACUGUUAGUAGUGAUCGAUAGACUACGAGA